AUUGAACGCUGGCGGCAGGCUUAACACAUGCAAGUCGAGCGGGGAAAAGUAGCUUGCUACUUGACCUAGCGGCGGACGGGUGAGUAAUGCUUAGGAAUCUGCCUAUUAGUGGGGGACAACAUCUCGAAAGGGAUGCUAAUACCGCAUACGUCCUACGGGAGAAAGCAGGGGACCUUCGGGCCUUGCGCUAAUAGAUGAGCCUAAGUCGGAUUAGCUAGUUGGUGGGGUAAAGGCCUACCAAGGCGACGAUCUGUAGCGGGUCUGAGAGGAUGAUCCGCCACACUGGGACUGAGACACGGCCCAGACUCCUACGGGAGGCAGCAGUGGGGAAUAUUGGACAAUGGGGGGAACCCUGAUCCAGCCAUGCCGCGUGUGUGAAGAAGGCCUUUUGGUUGUAAAGCACUUUAAGCGAGGAGGAGGCUACCGAGAUUAAUACUCUUGGAUAGUGGACGUUACUCGCAGAAUAAGCACCGGCUAACUCUGUGCCAGCAGCCGCCGUAAAAC
rnacentral:rRNA from 1 species